rnacentral:rRNA from 1 species
CUAGCCCUUAAGCUGAUUUGGUUCUAGGAAAAUGCUCUGGAAAGAGCAGCCAUAGAAGGUGAUAGCCCUGUAUCUGAAAGGGCCAUUUCAGUGAAGACGAGUAGGGCGGGGCACGUGAAACCCUGUCUGAACAUGGGGGGACCAUCCUCCAAGGCUAAAUACUACUGACCGACCGAUAGUGAACCAGUACCGUGAGGGAAAGGCGAAAAGAACCCCGGAGAGGGGAGUGAAAUAGAACCUGAAACCGUGUGCGUACAAGCAGUAGGAGCUCCGCAAGGAGUGACUGCGUACCUUUUGUAUAAUGGGUCAGCGACUUACUGUUCGUGGCAAGCUUAACCGUAUAGGGGAGGCGAAGGGAAACCGAGUCUGAUAAGGGCGCAUAGUCGCGGGCAGUAGACCCGAAACCGGGUGAUCUAGUCAUGCCCAGGGUGAAGGUGCGGUAACACGCACUGGAGGCCCGAACCCACUCCCGUUGCAAAGGUAGGGGAUGAGGUGUGAUUAGGAGUGAAAAGCUAAUCGAACCCGGAGAUAGCUGGUUCUCCUCGAAAGCUAUUUAGGUAGCGCCUCAUAUGUAUCCUCUCGGGGGUAGAGCACUGUUAUGGCUAGGGGGUCAUCGCGACUUACCAAACCAUUGCAAACUCCGAAUACCGAGACGGACUGUAUGGGAGACACACGGCGGGUGCUAACGUCCGUCGUGAAAAGGGAAACAACCCAGACCCACAGCUAAGGUCCCAAAUUUUGUGCUAAGUGGAAAACCAUGUGGAAAGGCACAGACAGCCAGGAGGUUGGCUUAGAAGCAGCCACCCUUUAAAGAAAGCGUAAUAGCUCACUGGUCGAGUCGGUCUGCGGGGAAGAUUUAACGGGGCUAAGCACAGAACCGAAGCUUGGGGUGCAUAACUUUGUUAUGCGCGGUAGAGGAGCGUUCCGUAAGCCGUUGAAGGUGGAUUGAGAAGUCUGCUGGAGGUAUCGGAAGUGCGAAUGCUGACAUGAGUAACGAUAAUGCGGGUGAAAAACCCGCACGCCGAAAGCCCAAGGUUUCCUUGCGCAACGUUAAUCGGCGCAGGGUGAGUCGGCCCCUAAGGCGAGGACGAAAGUCGUAGUCGAUGGGAAGCAGGUUAAUAUUCCUGCACCUCGCGUAAGUGCGAUGGAGGGACGGAGAAGGUUAGGUGUACCAGGCGUUGGUUGUCCUGGGGAAAGGCGGUAGGUUUGGAUCUUUGGCAAAUCCGGGAUCCUUUAAGACCGAGCACCGAGACGAGCCUUUAUGGCGAAGUCACUGAUACCACGCUUCCAGGAAAAGCUCCUAAGCUUCAGCUUACGCAGACCGUACCGUAAACCGACACAGGUGGGUAGGAUGAGAAUUCUCAGGCGCUUGAGAGAACUCGGGUGAAGGAACUAGGCAACAUGGCACCGUAACUUCGGGAGAAGGUGCACCCUUUUUGGUGGCUCGUGCGAGCUAUAGCUGAAGAGGGUCGCAGUAACCAGGCCGCUGCGACUGUUUAUCAAAAACACAGCACUCUGCAAACACGAAAGUGGACGUAUAGGGUGUGACGCCUGCCCGGUGCUGGAAGGUUAAUUGAUGGGGUCAGCCGCAAGGCGAAGCUCUUGAUCGAAGCCCCAGUAAACGGCGGCCGUAACUAUAACGGUCCUAAGGUAGCGAAAUUCCUUGUCGGGUAAGUUCCGACCUGCACGAAUGGCGUAACGACAGCGGCGCUGUCUCCACCCGAGACUCAGUGAAAUUGAAAUCGCUGUGAAGAUGCAGCGUUCCCGUGGCAAGACGGAAAGACCCCGUGAACCUUUACUAUAGCUUUACACUGAACGUUGAGUUCGUCUGUGUAGGAUAGGUGGGAGGCUAUGAAACUGUGGCGCUAGCUGCAGCGGAGCCAUCCUUGAAAUACCACCCUGUCGUGCUUGACGUUCUAACCUGGGCCCAUUAUCUGGGUCGGGGACCGUGUAUGGUGGGUAGUUUGACUGGGGCGGUCUCCUCCUAAAGAGUAACGGAGGAGCUCGAAGGUACGCUCAGCGCGGUCGGACAUCGCGCACUGUGUGCAAAGGCAUAAGCGUGCUUGACUGCAAGAUCGACGGAUCAAGCAGGUAGGAAACUAGGACUUAGUGAUCCGGUGGUUCUGUAUGGAAGGGCCAUCGCUCAACGGAUAAAAGGUACUCCGGGGAUAACAGGCUGAUACCGCCCAAGAGUUCAUAUCGACGGCGGUGUUUGGCACCUCGAUGUCGGCUCAUCACAUCCUGGGGCUGUAGUCGGUCCCAAGGGUAUGGCUGUUCGCCAUUUAAAGUGGUACGCGAGCUGGGUUCAGAACGUCGUGAGACAGUUCGGUCCCUAUCUGCCAUGGGCGUUGGAGAUUUGAGAGGGGCUGCUCCUAGUACGAGAGGACCGGAGUGGACGAACCUCUGGUGUUCCGGUUGUCACGCCAGUGGCAUUGCCGGGUAGCUAUGUUCGGAAGCGAUAACCGCUGAAAGCAUCUAAGCGGGAAGCGCGCCUCAAGAUGAGAUCUCCCGGGGCACAAGCCCCCUGAAGGAACCAUGUAGACUACGUGGUUGAUAGGUCAGGUGUGUAAGUACAGCAAUGUAUUGAGCUAACUGAUACUAAUGAUCCGUGCGGCUUGACCAU